rnacentral:rRNA from 1 species
AGUUCGAUCCUGGCUCAGAUUGAACGCUGGCGGGAUGCUUACCACACGUAUGCAAGUCGAACGGCAGCACGGACUUCGGUCCUGGUGGCGAGUGGCGAACAGGUGAGUAGUAAUCGGAACGGUGCUGGUAGCGGGGAUAACUACUGCGAAAGCGUAGCUAAUAUACGCCCUUCGAGAAAAGCGGGGGACCUUCGGGCCUCGCACUAUUAGAGCGGCCGAUAUCCGGAUUAGCCUAGUUGGUGGGGUAACGGCUCCUGCAAGGCGACGAUCGUAGCUGGUUUGAGAGGACGACCAGCCACUGGGACUGAGACACGGCCCAGACUCCUACGGGGAGGCAGCAGUGGGGAAUUUUGGACAAUGGGGAAACCCUGAACCAUCCCGCGUGUGCGAUGAAGGUCCUUCGGGUUGUAAAGCACUUUUUGGCAGGAAAAACGGCACGGGAUAAUGCCCCCGUGCAACUGACAAUACCUGCAGAAUAAGCACCGACUAACUACGCCAUAGCAACCGCAGUAAUACGUAGAGGUGCAAAGCGUUAAUCGGAAUUACUGGGCGUAAAGCGUGCGCAGAGCGGUUCGGAAAGAAAGAUGUGAAAUCCCAGAGCUUAGCUUUUGGAACUGCAUUUUUAACUACCGAGCUAGGUGUGUCUGGAGGUGGAAUUCCGCGUGUAGCAGUGGAAAUGCGUAGAUAUGCGGAGGAACACCGAUGGCGAAGGCAGCCUCUGGACUAACUGACGCUCAUGCACAGCUGAUGGGGAGCAAACAGGAUUAGAUACCCUGGUAGUCCACGCCCUAAACGAUCAUCAACUGCUAGCUGUUGGGGCCUUCGGGCCUUGGUAGCGCAACUAACGCGUGAAGUUGACCGCCUGGGGAAUACGGUCGCAAGAUUAAAAACUCCAAAAGGAAUUGACCAGGACCCGCACAAGCAGUGGAUGAUGUGGAUUAAUUCGAUGCAACGCGAAAAACCUUACCUACCCUUGACAUUGUCACCGGAAUCCCGAAAGAGAUUUGGGGUGCUCGCAAGAGAACCGGAACACAGGUGCUGCAUGGCUGUCGUCAGCUCGUGUCGUGAAUGUUGGGUUAAGUCCGCAACGAUACCCAACCCCUUGUCAUUAGUUGCUACGAAAAGGGCACUCUAAUGAGACUGCCGGUAGCAAACCGGAGGAAGGUGGGGAUGACGUCAGUCUCAUGGCCCUUAUGGGUGAGGCUUCACGUCAUACAAUGGUCGGGACAGAGGGGUCAUAACCCGCGGGGAGCCAAUCCCAGAGGAAACCCGAUCGUAGUCCGGAUCGCAGUCUGCAACUCGACUGCGUGAAGUCAGGAGAAAUCGCUAGUAAUCACGGAUGUAUGUCGCGGUGAAUACGUUCCCGGGUCUUAUACACCGCCCGUCACCAUAAAAUUGGUUUUACCAGAAAGUAGUUAGCCUAACCGUGGAGGGCGAUUACCACGGCCAGGAUUCAUGACUGGGUGAAGUCGCUUAACAAGGUAACUCUAUUUUACCUGAACACUCCCAG